GAUGAACGCUAGCGGCAGGCUUAAUACAUGCAAGUCGAGGGGCAGCAUGAAGUAGCAAUACUUUGAUGGCGACCGGCAAACGGGUGCGGAACACGUACACAACCUUCCUUUAAGUGGGGAAUAGCCCAGAGAAAUUUGGAUUAAUACCCCGUAACAUUGCGAUGUGGCAUCACAUUGCAAUUAUAGUUUCGACGCUUAAUGAUGGGUGUGCGUAUGAUUAGAUAGUUGGCGAGGUAACGGCUCACCAAGUCUACGAUCAUUAGCUGAUGUGAGAGCAUGAUCAGCCACACGGGCACUGAGACACGGGCCCGACUCCUACGGGAGGCAGCAGUAAGGAAUAUUGGUCAAUGGACGAAAGUCUGAACCAGCCAUGCCGCGUGAAGGAUUAAGGUCCUCUGGAUUGUAAACUUCUUUUAUAUGGGACGAAAAAAGGUCUUUCUAGAUCACUUGACGGUACCAUAUGAAUAAGCACCGGCUAACUCCGUG
rnacentral:rRNA from 1 species